rnacentral:rRNA from 1 species
CAAUAGCGUAUACUAACGUUGUUGCAGUUAAAAAGCUCGUAGUUGGAUUUCUGAAGGUGGUUGGAUUGGUGUGGCCUCGCGUUGCCUCAACCAUACUAUUUUCAACAUAUGCGAUGAAUUGGUGUGGUUAAUUAAGUUUGAUCCGCCAUUAAAUCGCUCGUUUACUUUGAGAAAAUUAGAGUGUUCAAAGCAGGCAUAACGCCUUGAAUAUGUUAGCAUGGAAUAAUAGCAUAGGACUUUGGUUCUAUUUGUUGGUUGUUCGAGAACCGGAGUAAUGAUUGAUAGGGACGGUUGGGGGCAUCCGUAUUCUCAAGCGAGAGGUGAAAUUCUUGGACCUUGGGAAGACGAACAGCUGCGAAAGCGUUUGCCUAGGACGUUCUCUUUAA